GACGAACGCUGGCGGCGUGCUUAACACAUGCAAGUCGAACGGAAAGGCCCUGCUUUUGUGGGGUGCUCGAGUGGCGAACGGGGGAGUAACACGUGAGUAACCUGCCCUUGACUUUGGGAUAACUUCAGGAAACUGGGGCUAAUACCGGAUAGGAGCUCCUGCUGCAUGGUGGGGGUUGGAAAGUUUCGGCGGUUGGGGAUGGACUCGCGGCUUAUCAGCUUGUUGGUGGGGUAGUUGCUUACCAAGGCUUUGACGGGUAGCCGGCCUGAGAGGGUGACCGGCCACAUUGGGACUGAGAUACGGACCAGACUGCUACGGGAGGCAGCAGUGGGGAAUCUUGCACAAUGGGCGGAAGCCUGAUGCAGCAACGCCGCGUGCGGGAUGACGGCCUUCGGGUUGUAAACCGCUUUCGACUGUGACGAAGAGUGAGUGACGGUAAUGGGUAAAGAAGCACCGGCUAACUACGUG
rnacentral:rRNA from 1 species